rnacentral:tRNA from 1 species
GGACUGUGGCUCAGUGGUGGAGCACUUGCCUAGCAUGUGUGAGGCCCUGGGUUCAAUCCUUAGCACCA